rnacentral:lncRNA from 1 species
UUUCCAGUCAAUCUUACUUACCAUAAAUAAAUAAAAAUAGUCAAUCUUACACAUUUUUUGACUCUCAAGGUUGUUAGUUGAUUUACAUAUUUCUAACAAAGCAAAGACUAAAGAAGCAACCAUCCAAAACACUAUGAAGAAAUUUUGUACAACUAACUACAUUAUACUCAGUGUAAUUCAACAAAUGAGGUCUGGAAAAGGAAGAAUGUACGUACGCAAAUCACUUUACCCUACCUCGUGGAGGUAGAGAGAGUUGAUCGGGAACUCGAUUCUUCUACUGAUGAGAUCAAUUUUACUUCUGACCUUUACUUACUUACGUAUAUCCUAUCAUUUUCAAAUUUUACUUACGAGAUUAUACUGAAUUUAUUGUUGUACUGAAUGUGAGUAAAUUUAUUUUUUCAAAUAAUUGAUCCUUUUUUUCCUUCUAUUGUGGUUAGUAAUACUAGUGUUGCAUUUGAAUAAAUCAUGAUUAAGGAAGCAAACAAAAGAAUAAGACCAAGUCAUAUAAAAUUAUCCCAUAUGCUCAAACAAAAAAUUUCCCACCUCAAAAAAAAAAAAACAAAAAACUAAGCCAUAUUUUAUUUAGUCUUGCUUUUUGUAAUCAGUAUUUUCCAGUCAAUCUUACUUACCAUAAAUAAAUAAAAAUAGUCAAUCUUACACAUUUUUUGACUCUCAAGGUUGUUAGUUGAUUUACAUAUUUCUAACAAAGCAAAGACUAAAGAAGCAACCAUCCAAAACACUAUGAAUAAAUUUUGUACAACUAACAACAUUAUACUCAGUGUAAUUCCACAAAUGAGGUCUGGAAAGGAAAGAAUGUACGUACGCAAAUCACU